GACAGAGGGUGCAAACGUUGUUCGGAUUUACUGGGCGUAAAGCGCGUGUAGGCGGCUUUGCAAGUCGGAUGUGAAAGCCCACGGCUCAACCGUGGAAGUGCAUCCGAAACUGCAUGGCUCGAGUCUCGGAGAGGAAGGUGGAAUGCUUGGUGUAGAGGUGAAAUUCGUAGAUAUCAAGCAGAACACCGGUGGCGAAGGCGGCAUCCUGGACCGGCAUUGACGCUGAGGCGCGAAAGCCAGGGGAGCAAACGGG
rnacentral:rRNA from 1 species